GGAGAAGGGCUCCCUGACCAGCCUAUCAUUUACAAAAGGUUAUAUGAGAAGCAAUUAGCAAAAGCAUGAAGACAACAUCAGCAAGGAAGCAAACCCUUCCUUAAAUAAGUAGAAUAAGCACAAUAUAAGUAAUGAAAUGCAACUUAAUUAUGGACAUCAACGACAGUCCACAUAGAAAAUUAUGUUGAAUUGGAAUCACUAUUUAUCCAGAUUGAAUGAUCAUAUAGUUACCAUAGCAAGAGAACAGAUCACAACUUGAUGAUCGAUGGGUUGAUUGUCAUGCCAAUUGCCAAGUACAAACCUAUCCUUAUGUCUAAAAAUUAUAUACCACAUUAAAAUUGAAUUUGGCUUAACUUGAGGUACAAUUAUCAAAUCCAGAAGACGUCCAGGGCCAGACAUGCAUUUUGCAAAAUGAUUACUAGGU
rnacentral:misc_RNA from 1 species